UACAGAGGUCCCGAGCGUUGUUCGGAUUUACUGGGCGUAAAGGGCGCGUAGGCGGCCACCGCAAGUCGACUGUGAAAUCUCCGGGCUUAACCCGGAAAGGUCAGCCGAUACUGCGGGGCUAGAGUGCAGAAGGGGCAACUGGAAUUCUCGGUGUAGCGGUGAAAUGCGUAGAUAUCGAGAGGAACACCUGCGGCGAAGGCGGGUUGCUGGGCUGACACUGACGCUGAUGCGCGAAAGCGUGGGGAGCAAACAGG
rnacentral:rRNA from 1 species